AGCGUACACGGUGGAUGCCCUGGCAGUCAGAGGCGAUGAAGGGCGUGCUAAUCUGCGAUAAGCGCCGGUAAGGUGAUAUGAACCGUUAUAACCGGCGAUACCCGAAUGGGGAAACCCAGUGUGACUCGUCACACUAUCAUUAACUGAAUCCAUAGGUUAAUGAGGCGAACCGGGGGAACUGAAACAUCUAAGUACCCCGAGGAAAAGAAAUCAACCGAGAUUCCCCCAGUAGCGGCGAGCGAACGGGGAGGAGCCCAGAGCCUGAAUCAGCAUGUGUGUUAGUGGAAGCGUCUGGAAAGGCGCGCGAUACAGGGUGACAGCCCCGUACACAAAAGCGCAUGUGCUGUGAGCUCGAUGAGUAGGGCGGGACACGUGGUAUCCUGUCUGAAUAUGGGGGGACCAUCCUCCAAGGCUAAAUACUCCUGACUGACCGAUAGUGAACCAGUACCGUGAGGGAAAGGCGAAAAGAACCCCGGCGAGGGGAGUGAAAAAGAACCUGAAACCGUGUACGUACAAGCAGUGGGAGCACAGGUUUACCUGUGUGACUGCGUACCUUUUGUAUAAUGGGUCAGCGACUUAUAUUCUGUAGCAAGGUUAACCGAAUAGGGGAGCCGGAGGGAAACCGAGUCUUAAUUGGGCGUUAAGUUGCAGGGUAUAGACCCGAAACCCGGUGAUCUAGCCAUGGGCAGGUUGAAGGUUGGGUAACACUAACUGGAGGACCGAACCGACUAAUGUUGAAAAAUUAGCGGAUGACCUGUGGCUGGGGGUGAAAGGCCAAUCAAACCGGGAGAUAGCUGGUUCUCCCCGAAAGCUAUUUAGGUAGCGCCUCGUGAAUUCAUCUCCGGGGGUAGAGCACUGUUUCGGCUAGGGGGCCAUCCCGGCUUACCAACCCGAUGCAAACUGCGAAUACCGGAGAAUGUUAUCACGGGAGACACACGGCGGGUGCUAACGUCCGUCGUGAAGAGGGAAACAACCCAGACCGCCAGCUAAGGUCCCAAAGUCAUGGUUAAGUGGGAAACGAUGUGGGAAGGCCCAGACAGCCAGGAUGUUGGCUUAGAAGCAGCCAUCAUUUAAAGAAAGCGUAAUAGCUCACUGGUCGAGUCGGCCUGCGCGGAAGAUGUAACGGGGCUAAACCAUGCACCGAAGCUGCGGCAGCGACACUGUGUGUUGUUGGGUAGGGGAGCGUUCUGUAAGCCUGUGAAGGUGGCCUGUGAGGGUUGCUGGAGGUAUCAGAAGUGCGAAUGCUGACAUAAGUAACGAUAAAGCGGGUGAAAAGCCCGCUCGCCGGAAGACCAAGGGUUCCUGUCCAACGUUAAUCGGGGCAGGGUGAGUCGACCCCUAAGGCGAGGCCGAAAGGCGUAGUCGAUGGGAAACAGGUUAAUAUUCCUGUACUUGGUGUUACUGCGAAGGGGGGACGGAGAAGGCUAUGUUGGCCGGGCGACGGUUGUCCCGGUUUAAGCGUGUAGGUGUGUGUUCCAGGUAAAUCCGGUUCACUUUAACACUGAGGCGUGACGACGAGGCACUACGGUGCUGAAGCAACAAAUGCCCUGCUUCCAGGAAAAGCCUCUAAGCAUCAGGUAACAUCAAAUCGUACCCCAAACCGACACAGGUGGUCAGGUAGAGAAUACCAAGGCGCUUGAGAGAACUCGGGUGAAGGAACUAGGCAAAAUGGUGCCGUAACUUCGGGAGAAGGCACGCUGACACGUAGGUGAAGUGAUUUACUCACGGAGCUGAAGUCAGUCGAAGAUACCAGCUGGCUGCAACUGUUUAUUAAAAACACAGCACUGUGCAAACACGAAAGUGGACGUAUACGGUGUGACGCCUGCCCGGUGCCGGAAGGUUAAUUGAUGGGGUCAGCGCAAGCGAAGCUCCUGAUCGAAGCCCCGGUAAACGGCGGCCGUAACUAUAACGGUCCUAAGGUAGCGAAAUUCCUUGUCGGGUAAGUUCCGACCUGCACGAAUGGCGUAAUGAUGGCCAGGCUGUCUCCACCCGAGACUCAGUGAAAUUGAACUCGCUGUGAAGAUGCAGUGUACCCGCGGCAAGACGGAAAGACCCCGUGAACCUUUACUAUAGCUUGACACUGAACAUUGAGCCUUGAUGUGUAGGAUAGGUGGGAGGCUUUGAAGCGUGGACGCCAGUCUGCGUGGAGCCGACCUUGAAAUACCACCCUUUAAUGUUUGAUGUUCUAACGUGGACCCGUGAUCCGGGUUGCGGACAGUGUCUGGUGGGUAGUUUGACUGGGGCGGUCUCCUCCUAAAGAGUAACGGAGGAGCACGAAGGUUGGCUAAUCCUGGUCGGACAUCAGGAGGUUAGUGCAAUGGCAUAAGCCAGCUUGACUGCGAGCGUGACGGCGCGAGCAGGUGCGAAAGCAGGUCAUAGUGAUCCGGUGGUUCUGAAUGGAAGGGCCAUCGCUCAACGGAUAAAAGGUACUCCGGGGAUAACAGGCUGAUACCGCCCAAGAGUUCAUAUCGACGGCGGUGUUUGGCACCUCGAUGUCGGCUCAUCACAUCCUGGGGCUGAAGUAGGUCCCAAGGGUAUGGCUGUUCGCCAUUUAAAGUGGUACGCGAGCUGGGUUUAGAACGUCGUGAGACAGUUCGGUCCCUAUCUGCCGUGGGCGCUGGAGAACUGAGGGGGGCUGCUCCUAGUACGAGAGGACCGGAGUGGACGCAUCACUGGUGUUCGGGUUGUCAUGCCAAUGGCACUGCCCGGUAGCUAAAUGCGGAAGAGAUAAGUGCUGAAAGCAUCUAAGCACGAAACUUGCCCCGAGAUGAGUUCU
rnacentral:rRNA from 1 species